rnacentral:rRNA from 1 species
UACGGAAGGCAGCAGUGGGGAAUAUUGCACAAUGGGCGAAAGCCUGAUGCAGCUAUGCCGCGUGUAUGAAGAAGGCCUUAGGGUUGUAAAGUACUUUCAUCGGGGAGGAAAAACAAAACUAAUAAUUUUAUUUCUUGACGUUACCCGAAAAAGAAGCACCGGCUAACUCCGUGCCAGCAGCCGCGGUAAUACGGAGGGUGCUAGCGUUAAUCAGAAUUACUGGGCGUAAAGAGCACGUAGGUGGUUUUUUUAAGUCAGAUGUGAAAUCCCUGGGGCUUAACCUAGGAACUGCAUUUUGAAACUGAAAUACUAGAGUAUCGUAGAGGGAGGUAGAAUUCUAGGUGUAGCGGUGAAAUGCGUAGAUAUCUGGAGGAAUACCUGUGGCGAAAGCGGCCUCCUAAACGAAUACUGACACUGAGGUGCGAAAGCGUGGGGAGCAAACAGGGAUUAGGAUACC